rnacentral:rRNA from 1 species
UACGGAGGGGGCGAGCGUUAUUCGGAAUUAUUGGGCGUAAAGGGCGCGUAGGCGGCUGUACAAGUCAAAGGUGAAAUCCCUCGGCUCAACUGAGGAACUGCCCUUUGAAACUGUACGGCUUGAGGCCGGGAGGGGGUAGGCGGAAUUCCCAAAUGUAGCGGUGAAAAUGCGUAGAUAUUCGCAAGAACACCAGUGGCGAAGGCGGCUCACUGGCCCGGUACUGACGCUGAGGUGCGAAAG